CCGUGUUGCACCUGGGGCCACUGAGACCCAGAAGAUCUGUCCUGUGGGAGAAAGGACUUCGCGGAGCUCUGUGGGGGCUGCAGCUGAGGAGAGUGCUGGAGUCUUCAGUCGGAUCUGCCUUUCUUGCUGACUCAAGAAACAGUAAAAGGUGACAGGAAGGUGGCCCCGGAACAAAUGGAGUCCCGCAGUGGCUCCAGCCAUGUGGAAUAAACCAAAUUAGUGCUGGCAGAAACUGAACCUGGAUUAUGAGUGCUGGCAAAAAUGUAAACAAAAUUAUUAAAAGAAAAUUGAACAAACUGCAGUUUUCAUCUCCUGUUAAGUGCUAAAGUGUGCCAAGUCCAACUUGUAAACAAACUAAUGAGCUUGGCUUUAAUUAAUGUUAAAAAAGCUGGUUCGACAGAGCCUGAAGAGGCCUAUAAAUAUUAUUUUGAAGAGUAUCCAAGACACUUAGAGCAGCUGUGUGAGCCUUUAGAAUUGACAUAGCUAUUUUAAUAUAUGCAGAGCUAUUUUUAACCUUUCAGCACAGGCCAGUCAGAGUGGGAGCCCAAGGGCAGUGAAGCCGGGGUGCCCAUCAGCUCCAUCAGCCAGAAUGCAACCUUGAAGGUCAAGGGCAUUGGCGCAGCAGUGUCCUGGGGCAGUUGGAAAAGUACCACAAACCGGGGAGCUCAAAACCACAGAAAUGUAUCUUCUCUCAGCUCUGGAGGCCUGAAGUCCAAAAUCAAGGUGCCAGCAAGGCUGUGCUCCCCCAACAGCUGGGAGGGUCCUCCCUGCCUCCUCAGCCUCCGAAGCUCCAGAUGCUCCCGGGUUUGUGGAUUCACAGCUUCCAUCUCUGCCUCCACCACCACAUGGGCUCCUGUGUCACCCUUCUUCUUAUAAGGACACAGUCACGACUUCAUCCUAACUACAGUGGUCCUCGUUGUCUUCCAUCUCACUUUUCUGGGUUUUAGUCACUCACGGUCAACCACGCUCCACAAAUAUUACAUGGCUACACUUGUGCUUUGGGGGCAUUAUUAAGUAAAAGAAGGGUGACCUGAACACAAGCACUGUGACACCACAGCCCAUCUGGUCACUAGGAUGACUGCCAAGUGGCCAAUGGCAACCCAGGCUUGGAUGGG
rnacentral:lncRNA from 1 species